rnacentral:rRNA from 1 species
AUACGUAGGGGGCGAGCGUUGUCCGGAAUGAUUGGGCGUAAAGGGCGCGUAGGCGGCCCGGCAAGUCUGGAGUGAAAGUCCUGUUUUUAAGAUGGGAAUUGCUUUGGAUACUGUCGGGCUUGAGUGCAGGAGAGGUAAGGGGAAUUCCCAGUGUAGCGGUGAAAUGCGUAGAUAUUGGGAGGAACACCAGUGGCGAAGGAGGCUGACUGGACUGUAACUGACUGUGAGGCGCGAAAGAGUGGGGAGCAAACAGAAUUAGAUACCUUGGUAGUCCACACUGUAAACGGUGGGCGCUAGGUGUAGGGGUCUUCCCAGACUUCUGUGCCGCAGCUAACGCAUUAAGCGCCCCGCCUGGGGAGUACGGCCGCAAGGCUAAAACUCAAAUGAAUAGGCGGGG